AUUCUAACAGAUUGAGAGAGGUAGUAACAAGAAAUAACAAUACAAGGCAGUUAAAAUGCUUUGUAAUUGGAAUGAUAGAAAUUUAAACCCUUUUUAAAGUAUCAAUUGGAGGGCAAGUCUGGUGCCAGCAGCCGCGGUAAUUCCAGCUCCAAUAGCGUAUAUUAAAAUUGUUGCAGUUAAAAAGCUCGUAGUUGAAGUUCUGCUGAAAGUAACCGGUCUGCUUUUAAUAAAAGUGGUAUCUUGGUAUGUAUUUAGCAAUGAUGUCCUUUGAAGUGUUUUUUACUUUAUUGUAAUAAAGCAUAUUCAGGACUUUUACUUUGAGAAAAUUAAAGUGUUUCUAGCAGGCUAACGCUUUGAAUACUGCAGCAU
rnacentral:rRNA from 1 species